rnacentral:tRNA from 1 species
GGUUCUGUAGCUUAGUUGGUAAAGCACUCGUCUAGCAUGCAAGAGUAGUGGGUUCGAAUCCCACCUGAGCAC